CAGAUAUACUAGAACAGGAAAUGGAAAGAAAAUUUCCAAUUUCUUUCCAAAAUAGGCAGUAGUUUAAGGCUAUAAAGCCUUUCGCAAAUCUGUAAAGGAAAAAGGCAGACAUAGAUAGAAACAGAAAGAAUACACAAAAGAGAUAGAGAGAAACACACCACAAAAGAUAUUUUACACUGAGUAUUCUUGAAUAAUAUGUCAGAAGGUUUUCGAGAGAAGCAAAUGUGAUCUGUUGUAUCUGCUUUUAUUUCAUUAUUUUAUUACAAAUAGUUUGCAUAUAAUACAUCAAAAUAGAGGAAAGAAAUAUACCUUUUAGAUUGGCUGAGAAAAAUGAAGUUUUUCAGAUCCCGACCGCUGUAUAUGGUGGAAUCAGUGACGGCGCGUGAGGCUGGGCACGGAGGCCCGGUGAAUGGAGCAAACCGGCCUAGGGCCGGAGCUCAGAGGGCUGGGGAACUCUCAAAGGAUUUCUUUUAGUUUUUUU
rnacentral:lncRNA from 1 species